rnacentral:rRNA from 1 species
UACGUAGGGUGCAAGCGUUGUCCGGAAUUAUUGGGCGUAAAGAGCUCGUAGGCGGUCUGUCGCGUCGGCUGUGAAAACCCGGGGCUCAACCCCGGGCCUGCAGUCGAUACGGGCAGACUAGAGUGCGGUAGGGGAGACUGGAAUUCCUGGUGUAGCGGUGAAAUGCGCAGAUAUCAGGAGGAACACCGGUGGCGAAGGCGGCUUCCUGGUCCGACACCGACGUUCAGGCACGAAAGCGUGGGGAGCAAACAGG